rnacentral:rRNA from 1 species
UACGUAGGUGGCAAGCGUUGUCCGGAAUUAUUGGGCGUAAAGCGCGCGUAGGCGGUCCUUUAAGUCUGAUGUGAAAGCCCACGGCUCAACCGUGGAGGGUCAUUGGAAACUGGGGGACUUGAGUACAGAAGAGAAGAGUGGAAUUCCACGUGUAGCGGUGAAAUGCGUAGAGAUGUGGAGGAACACCAGUGGCGAAGGCGACUCUUUGGUCUGUAACUGACGCUGAGGCGCGAAAGCGUGGGUAGCAAACAGG